CCGAUCAUAGAGGCAUUGCCUAAACUAGAGCAGUAAGUUAUACACAAAUCUACCCAACUUGUUUAUUUAGUUGAUAGCUCCCAAAAACAGCCUUUCAAUAUUUGUAAUUUGCCGUUAAUUUUAUAGGUACAUCUACUGUUCUUCAGCUGGUGUUUAUCUGAAAUCUGAUAUCUUGCCACACUGUGAGGUAUAGAAAAUAUAUCUUAAUUCUUAUUCCUGGAAGAAUAUGAGCUUGUAUUUCUCGGGAUUCUCCAUAUAUAUAUUGUGAUUUUGUCAUAUGAUCUCACUCAAAAGUUUAUUACCCGACCCCAGUUGUAGUAACUUUAUGGGACAUAACCAAUGCAGGAGGAUGCAGUUGACCCUAAGAGCAGGCACAAGGGGAAGCUGGAGACUGAAAGCUUACUGCAAUCAAAAGGUGUAAACUGGACUUCUAUUCGUCCUGUCUACAUCUACGGUCCAUUGAACUACAACCCUGUCGAAGAAUGGUUCUUCCACCGUCUCAAAGCUGGUCGCCCAAUCCCAGUUCCAAACUCUGGGAUACAGAUCUCACAACUCGGUCAUGUUAAGGUCACACACUACUUUCUCUAAUGCUCUUUAGCUCACUUUCAUGUUCAGAGCACUUGUUAUGUUAUAGGACACCCUCUUAACUCAAACUCAGCACUAUCUCAAUCCAAUAACACCAGAUGAUUCUGUGAUUUCAGGAUUUGGCAACAGCCUUUCUCAACGUGCUUGGUAACGAGAAAGCCAGCAGAGAGAUAUUCAACAUCUCAGGGGAGAAAUACGUCACUUUUGAUGGGUUAGCAAGAGCUUGCGCAAAGGUACAUUCUUGUUGUCUGUUCUAUCCAAAAUGUUUUGAAUACAUGUGGCCUGUUUGAGAUAUAUAUCUCUGAGCUUUUUGGAUCAGUGCUUGAGUAAAUUUAUUCAUGUUUUCAAAUCUCUCUCAGGCUGGUGGGUUUCCAGAGCCAGAGAUUGUGCACUACAACCCGAAAGAGUUCGACUUUGGGAAGAAGAAGGCAUUCCCUUUCCGUGACCAGGUAAAAACUAAAAAGUUCGAAUGAUUUAGGCUGCAACAUCAAAGAGUCCAUUCUAAAAGUUGGGGUUUUGAUUUAUGUAUGAUCUUGCAGCAUUUCUUUGCAUCGGUGGAGAAAGCCAAGCAUGUGCUGGGAUGGAAACCAGAGUUCGACUUGGUAGAGGGUCUCACUGACUCAUACAACCUUGAUUUCGGUCGCGGAACUUUCAGGAAAGAAGCAGAUUUCACCACUGAUGACAUGAUUCUAAGCAAGAAACUUGUACUUCAAUCCUAAAAAUUGCUCAUAUAAAAUCAACAUUCUUGGCUUGUUUUGAUUGUCAUCACCCGGAUCUCUUAAGAUUCUCACAUUUAUCGUCAUCUCACGUAUAUUUUGGUUCGGACUUUGAUCGACUUAUGAUAAACAACCCGAGAAAGUAACUGAAAAGAGACGGUCUGAACCUAUGGGUCUUAAUGUCUCACUUGGUAUUUUAGGAAUUUGGUUUCAAGUUCGGCAUCUCUUUCUAAGUCUGAACCGAACCAAACUAUCAACCAUACCCACUAGGCCACUACCGACUGAGCAAAUUAAAUUUCAGUUUUAAUACGGUCCCAGUUUUUUUCAUUGCUCAAAAGUCGAAACCGAACCAAAAAAAUCGAAUCCCAGCGUUUGUAAUUUAAAUGGCCUCCCAAAAAUUAGACCACAAGAAAGUACAUUGUGGCUAGAUGCUUGACCCGCUACAUACCGUCCGGUCGAUACAGGUCAAGUCAAGCUAACACUUAAUUGGGCCCCCCAGUAUUAAAACAUGCAGCCCAUCUCUUAUAAUAGGGGACAAGUCAAGCUUAAACUUGAUUAGGCUCCCGAGUCUUAGAACAUGCAGCCCAUCUCUUUUAACAGGAAAGUAUUUGGAGCCUACCUUAAAAAAAGCUGAUUGCAUCGUAACUUAUAGAGACACGUUUCAUGCCUUCUUGAGCCACUUCGCCGAUGUGGGAUAUAAGGCAUUAUCCUAUAAUGACGAACAAGUCUAUAAAACCAGGUUUUGCAAUUAACCUAGUAGUUUAAACAGUAAACAUAUGUCUUGGUCUGUUUCUUUUGCCUUUUUUCUUGUGUUUUGACUUUUGACUGCGUAAGUAUACAAUCUUUUUAAAAAACACAAGGAUUUUACGCAAACAAAAAUAAUUGAAGCCUCAAACGUCUUUUUCAGCUUAAAUAAGAUGAUGCAUAACAUCAACGGGAGAAUUGUUUCUGUUUUGCUGUCAUGUACUGAUGUACAGUUUCCAAAAACAUGGGGACCUGAAAGCAUCAACAAGUCAGUAAUGGAAAAUCUUCACCAGUUGAAAACUACUCAAACUUGAAUAUAUGCAACAACAACGAAAAAAAAAAAUAUUCCUUAUGAGCAAUUUUGUUCCUAGUUAUUUGGACAUUUUGAAUAUAAUUGACAGAAACAGGUUACCGCAGAUGUGUCGCCCAACCGCAACAAAACAGGCACUAUGUGAUAAACAAUGACGGGAAAACUCUCCAUUCAACGUAAAUUAAUUGUUGGGACCAAAGUUACAAAAAAUGCAUGUGAGGGUUCAUCGUGUCUUUGGUAAGGAGAGGUUUGUUUGGCCACUGCAGGUCGUAAUCUUGUGGGAAGAAGGACCGCACGGUAUCUUUUGUGUGGAGUUUGGAUUCCAAAGUAGAAUGUGCAUACUACAAAAAUGAAUUAGUCUUCUCUUUUUUGGCUGCUCUAGAAGGAUUACUUGAAAAGUCGUAGCUACACAUAAUCAUUGAACAUCCUAAUUAAUAUUAUUUUGCUUCUUUUCUAUACCUUUAUAUGUCGGUACGUUUUUUCCUUUUCCACUAUGUCGGUACGUAAAAAUGUUACUGCAGUGCUGGUUUUAGAUAAAAAUUCUAACAACGGUCGCCCACCACACUAAGGCAGCUAGCUAAUGGUCAGCUCGGUGAUCUGCGGAUUUUGGCAUAUCAGAUUGCAUAACAAGACUUUCCAAGUUUUCUUCAGAAAAAACUGACAAAAAAUUUCGAGACACGAUCUUGAUCCGAUAGAACAAAAAGAAUUUUGGUAAUCUCAUGAGCUAUAUAUUUCCUUGAAUCGAGUUCUCUCUUUUUUCAUUUUUUGGGUAAGUUAAGCCCUCAUCUAAUGAAACAAUUUUUUGUAACUAAUACCACAUCUUAUAAUUCCAUACUAAAAUUUACAAUAGUAUAUUAAAACAAAUUGUAAAAUUGAAAACAAAAAUAUAUAGUAAACUACAAAAAUAAAUUGAAUCCAAAAUUUUAGAUGGCCAGAAAUUACUUGAUGCAAUCUCAAGGCCAAGAAAAUUAAUUAUGCAAACAAAUUAAAAAAGGAAAAACAAAAAGAAAAAAAAAAUUGUAAUGUAAACUAGUAAUGCGAUAUAUAUAUAUAUAUAUAAGUAUAUGUAAUAUCAUUUUUUGGUUUUUUGUGACCCAAAAUAAAAUAAAAUAAAAGGAAAAACUUUUGGUUCUUUUUAUAUUUUAAAAUCUUGACGUUAGGAAAAAAGAAGAAAAUAUCAACGUUAUAAAAUAACCAACUACGCAAAAUAGUAGGUCGGUCAAGGGUUCGGACAAACAAAAUAUGACCAAUCAAUAUGUCUCGUGGGCUCUCCUCUUCGCCACGUGGCUUCAUAACAGCCUUGUAUGAAAUCAGACAGAGACGCUCCAACCAAUCACAAGUUUUCAUUCGUCGUGGUAGUAUCUAUAGUAUAUAGACCCCACCCUCACUUAUUUACCAAACUGUGAGACACGUUUCCAACUGUAUCGCCACGUCAUCAUUCUCCAAAUUAAGUUGUAAAUGUAGCAUGCACUAUCAAUUAGCCAUAACCACGGCCUUCAAAUUCCUAUAAAAGCCCAACCUUGGUUUCUCACACCAACAAUCAAAUCACACUAAUCAACAACUCAAGGGCAUCACUAAGAAGUAGUUUCUCUCUCUCUCUCGUUCUUUCAUAAUUCUCCGACAAGAUCAAUGGCACCUGAGAUGAACAACAAGUUGAGCUACGGAGGGAAGCAGAGGGCUUACGUGACUUUCCUUGCCGGGAACGGAGACUACGUGAAAGGAGUCGUUGGUCUGGCUAAAGGCCUAAGGAAAGCUAACAGCAAGUACCCAUUAGUGGUUGCUGUCUUACCGGACGUGCCCGUGGAUCACCGUAGACAGCUAGUGGAUCAAGGCUGUCUCAUCAAGGAUAUUCACCCGGUUUACCCGCCGGAUAACCAAACUCAGUUCGCCAUGGCUUACUACGUCCUCAACUACUCCAAGCUCCGCAUUUGGGAGGUACAUAUCAUUUUAACAUAAAUUUUAUGUUUUUUAAGUUUUCUUGAUAUGUAUGAGGUUUCACUAAAAUAUGUGAAUGCAGUUUGUCGAGUACAGCAAGCUGAUAUACUUAGACGGAGACAUACAAGUGUUUGAGAACAUAGAUCACUUGUUCGAUCUUCCCGACGGUAGUUUCUACGCUGUUAAAGACUGUUUCUGCGAGAAGACAUGGAGCCACACUCCUCAGUACAAGAUCGGCUACUGCCAGCAGUGUCCGGACAAGGUGACAUGGCCUGACACGGAGCAGCUUGGUCCUAAGCCACCGUUGUACUUCAACGCCGGAAUGUUCGUUUACGAACCAAGCCUCCCCACUUAUUACAACCUUUUGGAGACUCUCAAAGUUAUCCCUCCCACACCUUUCGCUGAACAGGUAAAACAAACACACAUAUUUAUAUCAUUAUAUAUUUGCAGUUUCAUUAUAAAUAUUAUAGGUCUUAAUUAAAAUUAUAUAUAUAUAGGACACGAUUCAAUUGAUUUUUGUGCGUUUUAUAGGAUUUCUUGAACAUGUACUUCAAAGAUAUAUAUAAGCCGAUUCCACCGGUAUAUAAUCUUGUCUUGGCUAUGCUCUGGAGGCAUCCAGAGAACAUAGAGCUUAAUGAAGCCAAAGUUGUUCAUUACUGUGCAGCUGGUGCUAAGCCUUGGAGGUAUAGGAUCUAGUUCUCUUCGUCUAAAUUUUCUAAAUGUAAAUUAAGAAUUAAGAUGAAAGAACUGAAGUUGGUUCUCUGUUUGUAUCAUCAGGUUCACAGGCCAAGAACAAAAUAUGGAGAGAGAAGACAUCAAGAUGCUUGUAGAGAAAUGGUGGGACAUUUACAACGACGAGUCACUUGAUUACAAGAACGUAAAUGUGCAUUGCAGACAAAAAGAAGAUGUCCAAAAGAAACAGCAAUCCCUUCCACAGUUUUUAACAGACUUGUCUGAGGCCAAUGUGCUUCACUGCGCCAAAGCUCCAUCCGCGGCCUAGAAAACUUUGUAAGGGCUGCACUAGGUUCUUGUCAACAACUAUUUGCUAUUAAUUAGCUUGUGAAACUGCUGAUGUUUAUAUAGGAAUUAUUGUAUGAAGUUGUGUUUUCCCGUUUUUAUGUGACUAUAGAGUGUUUAAUCUCCAAACCCUCUCUGUACCUUGUAUGUUUGCUAAAGCCUAAAGAUUUCUCUUCCGAAAAGAUAUAUUAAAUAAUAGUAUAGUUUUGUUAAGAGAAUUGCUACCCCCAACAGUUUAUAUAAAAGAAAAUUCUAUGUUUUGAUAAUCGGUAAAAACCAUAUUGGAAAUUAAUGAGAUUCAUUAAAAUAGGAUCCAAUCCAUAUAUUACAGAACGUUGUAAUCUUUUUUAUUCAUUUUGUAUAUUAUACGGCUCUCUUGAGUAUUCUCCUUUAGUUCGUUGAUGACAAAAAAAAAAGAAUAUUGUACUACUAGUAUUAGUAAAUGAAAUUUUAAUAUAAAUUAAAUAUUCAAACUUUAUGAAUCAUUUAUAAACAUUCUUAAAAACUUAUACUAUAAUACUUAAUUAGACCAGAUAUAUUUUUGUUGGGUAAGUUCUUAAUUUUCCUACAUGUUGACUCAAUAAUUUUGGAAACUCAGUUAUCAAAGAAAACAUUAAUGAGUUAGCUACUUCAACUAUUUAACAUGUUAUUCAAGAAUCUAUCCAACAUAAUCUCUUCAAUAAAAUUUAAAUUUACAAAAAAUAUGAAAUUCCCGCGCGGUAUUUUCCUAGUGAUCAUUCUUGUUUUCUACAUUUUGACUCCUUAUAUUGAAGCAGUCGAAGUUGAUGGACCAACAGAAGCAUUGAUUAGGAGUAUUUGCGUAGAAAACGAAGAUUAUGGAUUUUGUUACAAAAUCAUCCAUGAAAAAUUGAAGGCACCAACGGCUACUCUCAAAGAACUUACCGCUCUCAUAUUACACACCGCUAUAGAUCAGGCCAAUGAUACUUACAUUUUCAUUGAUAAUAUCUUCCAUGAGUGGCCCGGUCCUAAGGAGAAGACUGGUCUCACGACUUGUCAUGCAGUUUUUAAUAGAGAGAUCACUAGUUUCUUAGAAAUUCGCUUUCUAUUUUCAAAAAAGGAGUACGAACAUAUGGUUAAAACCAUUUUGUCUACAGCUAAGAUCUUAGAUGGUUGUAAGACCGAUUUACUUAUUCCUCCUUACAGAAAUCUUCUAACUGAGAAGAAGAGGGUUAUGAGAAUACUGAUCACCAUGUCUGCCGUUUCCGGAUACAUGGUAAAAAAUGGAAAAGCAUCCUUGCUUGGAUCAAUAGUUACUCCGCAGUAUUUCAUUUAUUAAUAAAUGGUAUGUAACAACUAAAGCUUCAUUGAUAUAAAAUUAAAGUUAAUAAAAACAAAUAACCUUGUCUUUCUUUUCUUUUCUUUUCUUUUUUCUUUUUUUUUGUUCACCUCAUGUCUUUCUUUUCUUGAUUCUAAAGUUUUUGAUAAACUUGGAUAAAAUCUCAGCAAUCUUAAAACUUAGUCGCCAUUGACUGAUUUGGUUAACAUCUCAUAUAUAUAGAACAUCUCAUAUAUAUAGUAGCAUUCUUCGAUGUAUUCACCUUCUUUAGUUCCACAUUUGAUGUAUAAGGCUUAUCUCUCUAUUCCCUUUUCUGGUCUCCGGUCAUUGGUAGAUAGCGAACUUCUCUCUUCUCCUGUCUUCAACAGGGAGAAAAAAAAAGAGUUCAUUCAUUUGCAUAUUCGAGGCACUAAAUAAUGUGAACAUUUAAGUAGUCAAACAAAAUCUUCUUAUAAUUGGUAAAAAAAGAAAAAAAAAAUCCUAUACACUUAAUUACAAAAUGAUUCAGAUCUGCGUCAGAUACGUAGCCAAACCAAAUAUUAUACUCUUUUGACGAGUUAUUAAUUUAAGUUGGUUUUUGUCAUUGGCCCGUUAGAUUUAAGAUCUUGACAUGCACUUAGAUAAGUUUUUUUUUAAUAAUUGAAUAGGCUAUUUCAUCAUUAUUUUUCUAAAAAAAUAAUAAAUUCCCAUUAUAUAUCUAACCAUAUCAAAAUACAUCUUAAAUAUACCAUAUUUACUAAUUAUUAAUGUUUUUUGUAUUUAUCUUACAAAUGUAAUAUAAUACAGUAUGCUUAAAAUUAAUUUGAUAUAACAUAUACAAUUAAUUAAUAUUUUUGUAUUUACCUUACAAGUGUAAUAUUUUUGGAAAUAUUUUUUUUCCUUGAAUUCACAAAUGCUUACACGGAAUUUCAGGUAACUCAGGAAGACUUUUGACUUUUGACUAAAAUUCAUUCAAAUGCCUAACUUUUAAUAUAAAGAUAAAAAAUUUCUUGCUCUAAGGACCACACACUCACAAUUUACAAAAAAAAAGAACACAAACAUGAAAUUGCCUAGCAAUAUUCUAUCGACAGUUUUGGCGAUUACACUCGCUUUCUCCGUUGCAGAAGCUUUUCUCAAUGGAAAAACUCAACAAAUGGUGAACGGGAUCUGCAAACAGACAACGGAUACCAAAUUCUGCAAUGGUGUCUUGGUCAAGAACCUGAUUACUCCUACCCCAAGCAACAAAGAUCUCAUGAACGUGACUCUUAGAGAAGCUGAAAGGUUCUCAGCAAACACUUAUUUCUUCAUCAGCACACUCCUCAGGGAUGCUGGAGACGAGAGGGAAGAUCUUCAAAUGUGCGCUGACGCUUACUCCAUUGUGAACUUGGCGUUCACUAAUGCUAUAUCUUUCUUCAACCAAGCUUACUACAGUAAGAUCGUCAAGGUCAAAAAUAAAGUUUCUACGGCCGUUGGUAUCUGUAAGACAGACUUCACAGUGCCCGGUUAUGAGAUCAAUCCGUUGAUUGAGAAAAAUAGACAGACUAUUAUUUUAGUAUCCAUGGAAAAUAUCGUUUGUCAUAUGGUUUCUUCAUAAUUUUGUUGUUGAAACAUAUGUAAAUGUAACUGAAGCAAAUGUUUACAGAGUUAACCAAUAAUAUAUUGAUAUGUUUUUUUGUUUGGUGAUGCUAAGGUUGAAUUAGAGUUGACAAGGAUAAGCACUUGGAUAUAGAAAUAGCUUUUUCUCUAAGUGUUUACACCUAUUGCCAAAAGAAUUAGUAUAAGAUUUUGAUUCCUUUGUCCUUUUAUGGAUUCUUUGAUCUUAUCGCUAAGUCAGCCGGUCAACUAGUGUGUAAUACUGUCACUUUCAUUAAUUUAUUUUUUGAAAACAUUACUUAAUUUUAAUAAUUAGUGCCUUCAAAUAGUCCAAAUCGGUUAUGUAAGUAUGAAAACUAUAUCGCAUGUUGCUCCUCUAUGUAAAUAUCUCUUACCAGCAAAACUAAUCUCAGCCAAGUCUUUCCUGCAAAUCUACGAUCCUUAUCGACUAACAGGUACAUGAACUUAGAUAAUACUCGCAAGUCGCAAUCAAGUAUGAAGAAGAAGACGGAGUUGAAGCAACAGAGCAGUUUGCUCUGUUUUCAUUCGUUUUAGUUUUUAUAUUCAGUUAUUCACCAGACACUUGGGUUACUAAACCAGGGUUAAACCGUGACCGUCAAUUUGUAAUUGACUUGCAAAAACCGAAACCCUCUGUUUGAAGCCACUUCCUUACAUUUUAACCCUGUGAGGCUGUGACAGAGUUAAGUUAUAUAGAGAUCAUAAUUAGUGAUAUAUGUAGUAGUGUCCAUGGCAUGAAGACUGCAAAUAACACACAAAUUAAACAUUCCAUCAUUGGCCUCAAAAUGGGAUACAAAGGUAAACACUCCGGAAAUGGAUAUUCAAUUUAAGUUGCAGUAACUUAAAGACAGCAUAAAACCACCAAAAGGCUUCACAGCUCUUACUUAUAUGAUAAAAGAAGGGUUCAAAGGUCUUAAGGCUAUAUAGGUCCUGUGGAACCAUUUCCACUAGAUGCGACUGGUAAUCUCGAUUCUAUAUCUUCAUUACUCUCAAUUUUUACUUUAUGCUGUUGUUGUUUCACCUUCUCUGCUUCUUCAUCCUUCUCAGUCACCUCUCUGUCUUUCCCCCACAAUACGCCAUAGAGCCCAAUAAUCACAAGUGCUGAUCCCAAAAACCUGUUUAUACAUAUAUCAUAUCAUUUAAUAAUCACCCCGCUGUUUAUGUUAUGUUUAUAUAUAGAGAGUGAGAUUAAUUAAGGUGUGUAGAUACGUACGUGCCGGUGUAGAGUUUCUCGUCAAGAAGAGUCCAGCUGAAGAUGGCGACGACUACUAGAAGUAAAGGGCUGAAAACAGAGACGUAGAGAGGACCUUUCCUCUGCAUCGCCCAUGACAUUAGGCAGAAUGCUAACGCAGACGCCACCACUCCCUGCAUCCAUGUUUUAUGUUAAAUAUUAUCAUAUACUAGCUAAGCUUAAUUCAUAGUAUAUGCAUUAAUGCAUAGUAUAAUGGUAAAACAUACGGCGUAAAGAGCGGAUAUGAAGCGGAGAGGAGAGCUGAGAGACCAAUCAGAGAGUUUGUGAUCGGAGAUCAAAGCGAUGGCUCCACACUGAAUACUUCCCAUCAAACACAUUAGAAGUGUGCUCGUGUAUGGUGCUGCAAAUGUUUCACUCAUCUUCGUCUGUCACCACAAUAAAAUUUCUUAAAAUUAAUAAACCUUAAAGGGUUUUUUUGCGUACAAAUCCUUAAAGGUAUAUUAGGGAAUUUUGGUUUUUGGGCUUUAUUUCAUAUUCACAGUUUCAAAUUCUGUUUUAUUUUUUGAAUGUAGAAAAGAUAAAACCUGAUUAAAAAAAAAAGGUUACCUGGAUAAUGAACCAAGCGGCCCAAGAAACGGCAGCAGCCAUAAUAAGAAAAGGUCCGAAGAAGAAGUUAGAACUGCUAGAACUGGAACCUUGGCUCGUUAUGUUUUCAGCAUAGGCCCAAUGGAUCUUGGACUCUCCAAUGCCGAUGGUGUGACCAUGGUAGAAGGAGAGAACCAUGGCUCCGAUCACACACACUAGCGUCCCUAUCACUUUGGCUUGUCCUGAUGCCUUUUUAAUCCCUACGGUUUCUUGUCUGAAAAAUGUAUAGUUUUGUGUUAGCAGUGAAAAACAGAGUAUUGUUUGAUGGAAACUUUCUAUUUAUUUUUUAUUUUUUUAGAAUUUAACUUUAUAAAUUUAUUACAUCUACAUAACCUGAAUAUUGCGGCGAGGAGGAACGUAACCGCUGGUAAGAGAUUAGUCAAGGCACAAGCAAUGGUCGGAGAUGAAUUCUGAAGACCUAUGAAGUAUAGCACUUGGUUUCCAGUCGCACUGCAAAUUAAAUCAGGGUCAAAAUAGUGUUACAAAAAACAUUUAUUUAUUUUUUUCCUUUUUCUGGUAAGAACUCAGAGAGAUGGAAUUGUCUACAAUUAUAGUAAAAAGACAAAAAAUGAGAUUGCAAUAAGUAGGUAAAGUGGAUGAUGUAGUAGAUACCCGGUGAUGGAACAGAAGAAGAUUUGGACAAGAACCUUAAGUGUGAUCUUCGGUCUUGUCUUCCUGCACAAGAAAACGUGUACGAAAUUUUAUCAUUAGUCCCUAAUCAUUAAAAUCAGUUAAUUCUUUUAGUAUGAAAAUAGUGUUUUAAAUAUCAAAACCCAACCGGCUAAACAAAGUCCAACUGAAUGACUGAAGGAAAAAAUCGAAAGAAUCAAUCAUUCAAAUAAAGUGAGUGAAGAGAGUAAAACGUCAGCGUAUAAGGAAGCACGUGUCGUGGGGAAAUAAAGUUGGCACGGCACCUGACGACGCUUUCUCUUAACUCACCUGGCAUCAUAUUUUGUGUUGUCUGCAUGUGUUUCGGUUAAAAGAAAGAAAAACGUGUGACGCGUGCAUUGUGUGAGAGACUGCGUCACAUUUCUCACUUCUUUUCUCUCGGUAAUCGGAAUUAAUGAUACUGUAAUUACUUUUAGGCUUCCACAUACGACCAAAGUGAUUCACAGUACCAGAGAUGUUGUAAUGAUAACGGUAAAUUACUAAUUUCAAUAAAAGAAACAAACAAAGAUGCAUAAUGCUGAUGCUAGCUAUUGCCUAGUGUAUAUCCAAUUUCGAAACCUAUUUAUCUGUGGCACUUUACCACCUUUUUUUCUUCAAAAUUCCCGAAAUCCAUAUACGUAUUGCUUAAUCACCAUAAUGUGCGUAAUCUAUAUCGUUAUCUUUGGACAAUAAACGAUGUCGUGCUAAACUCUCCUUCCUAGUUAUAUAUCUAUCGUUUAAACUUUUUAAUCAUCCAAAAUGAUGGUAUUAAUUAGUUGUCAAAAUUGUAAUUAAUGGAACUAAAUUAAUCUAUUCAAACCUAGUACUGAUGAAUUAAGUUUUUAGCAAAAAUAAGAAAAAAAUAAAUCUUAGACCAACAAAAAAAAAAUGUAAAUGUAAGUGGUACUUCUAUGUCAUAAACUUUAAAAAGCUUUAUUUUUGUUGAACUUUGUAAAGUAAUUAGUAAAAUCGUUCUACAACAGACUCACAAAACCAUUUAGUAAAAAUGAAUGGUUUCAUUCGCUAAUAUAUAUAAAAUACACGCACUCAUCCCAUUAUAUUUAUGAAUGAUGUCAUCACUUUGUACUUUCGCACUUAAAACACACACUUUAAGACAUUCGAUUUAAACCCAAACGCAAUAAUCAAAGAAAAUUUAGCCUGGUUAAUGACAACAAAAGUUAAGCAUAUCGAUCUCUCGCUGAUCUUUGUAAAACCUAGUCCGAUCAUGACUAUACGUAAAAACCUUAAUAAAUUUAACAUGAAAAAGCAAUAAGAACAAUGCCUUUCAAGAAACAAACAGAAAUUCAAGAUUCUAUGGAUGCAGCUUGUUUCAAUCAUAUAUUGAUGCAUGUCCAAAAGCGUUAGCUGACCAAAAAUAACAUGUACAUGUAUGUAGAUAUUAGCAUGGUUUUUCUACCUUUCUAGAAAAAUUGCAACCGGGAGAGUGGCGAUAGUGGCAAAUAUUUGGCGAUAAGCGACCAGAAUGAGAGGCUUCAUGCCGGCCUCCAUAGCCAUCUUCGACGUAAUGUUCAUGCCUGCGUAGCCGAUUUGCACCAACACCAUCGCCAAGAACGGCAGCAUAUCUCUUGAUUUACCCAUCUCUCUCUCUCUCUCUCUCACGUUUAUUUUAUUCUUCAAAAUUUAUGUGUUUAUAUAUAUAUAUCUAUAUGUAUAUCUCUCUCACUAUUACUAAUCAGUAAUAAUAGGUCGAGCAACCAAGAAAAAAAAAGGAGAGAGGUGGGUUCUCUUUGAUGUUUAUUAGUUUCCCCCAAAUCUAUCUCUACUUUUGUUCAACCUUCUUAUAUUUAUAGCUAAAGGUAUAUAUAUACAUAUAUAUUGUAUACAUUUAUUUAUUUAUAUAGAUAUAUAGAGAGAGAGAGGGAGAAAGGGAGAGAGAUGUUUUAAACAGAAAGGUGAGAAACGGUUCGAGAAUGAAGUUUGCUUGUAACACUUGUGCUCUCUUUAGGGCAUAAGAACACGAAACAGUAGAUGAUAUGUAUCAUUUGAUAUUUUUGGCAAUUUGUAUAACUUUUUCUCCUUGUUGAUUACUAUUAUAAAAUCCAAAUUGCCGUUUUGUAGAAAGAAAAAAAUAAACUUAUAUAUAUCCUCUCUCUUUCAGUCCCUUUUAUUUGGUUUCCGUUUUUUCAUGGGUUUGGUGGAGAUUGUGAAUGAAUGGUAAGAGAAUGCAUGAAUGCCUUUCUCAAGCUUCAAGCAACCAAUCUCGCUUUGCUAAAACUCGUUUCUCUGUGAAUAUUAAUUCAAGGGUUUGGUUUAUCCCUUCAUUUAUCAUCAUUAUCAAGUUAACCAUUCUUUCUUUGCUAAAAAUUGUUAUACUAUCAUUUUGAUUGAUUUUCAUUUCACCACUCUUACUUUUUUUCUCAAACAUUUUUUUUUUUGGUGUGUGUGUGCGUGUCUAAUAUGAUUAUAAUAUAUUUUAAUAUUUUUUGAAAUUCAAUAUGAAUUGAAUCAAACGCAUUACAUUUAUCAAUAGAGAUUAUAUAUAUAUGUGUGUGUGUUGGGGCCAUUUAUUUGUGCUUAAAGGGCCUUACUUGUGCUUAAAGGCCUUUCCUUAGGUGUACCGUACACAGUAACUUCCUUGAGCAAGAAUGUAUCUUCUUUUGAUAGUAGAGGACAAAAAAACAUAGGUAUACCGAAAAGAACACGUUAAACUUUCAUGUUUGUUGAAAUUUUGAGAAAGUUGGGGAUGAUUCAUAUUUUGCUGGAUUUAAUUGGUAUUACACGAAAUGCUGUUUCAAACUGAAGAUGACUAAUUAUGAUUAAUACAAUAUUCCUGCUUCCAUUUGCAUUAAGUCAUAGAAGGAAGCUAACGUUGGCUUCUCCAAAACAAAUUGGUUUUUCGUGUCGCUCACUUAAUUAGUUGGGUUUCCAAGUUCCAACGUAAAUUUUCGCCGCAUAUUUUUAUCUUUACGUUGUUACGUACCAAAAGAUUUUUUCCGUUGUUGGUUUUGGAUGUAUUAGGGAUGCAUUACGUAUAGUAAUGUGAUUAGCAUCUCGAUGCAAAUCUAUUCAUUCUAUCAUGCCCACAUCACUGUGGCCUUUGUGGGCUAAACUUUUGAAUCGAAAGAAAACUAGCAUAUUAGCCACCAAUAUACAAAAGCCCAAAUGAAAUACAGAAGUAUAUAAACUUACCAAUCACAGUGAAAUUUUUUUUUAAAAAAUCAUAGUAGUUUUAUUCUGUUUUUUUUUUUUUAAUAAGUAACUCACAUCACCUUCUCUUUUUUUCUUUUCUUUUCCCAACGGUGGGAAACUAAAUUGGGGAUCGAUCUCGAUAUGCAUAAGCUUGAGUUAUGUGUGUGAGUCACUAUCAACCACCAACCUACAAAGUCUUUGGCUUUAUUAUUUCAAAUUAAAUUAAAAGGAUCACACACUACUAAUAAAAGCUUAAAAGAGGAAAAACAAGAUCCCACACACUACUAAAGCUAGGCUUACCAUAUUUUUACAAAAGGGCUCUCUGUUCACACCACUACUACUAUCGAUCAGUCUCUUCUUCCAGUUCCAAUGGCUACUCUUUCUCUUCACUGCUACUACUUCUUCCUGCUCACUCUCCUCCCGGUGAUCUUUAAUCUCCGGCAUCACUUGGCGGUGGCUGAAGGAUGUCAAUCUCCUCCCGUGAUCUUUAACUUUGGAGAUUCAAACUCCGACACGGGUGGACUCACCGCCGGACUCGGCUACUACAUUGGUCUUCCCAACGGUCGCUCGUUUUUCCGGCGAUCCACCGGCCGACUGUCCGAUGGACGACUCGUCAUCGAUUUCCUCUGUAAGUCAGCUUUUUCUCGACUCUAGUAACUAUUAGACGGUUGAGAUUUAGUGGGUAGUGGGAUCAAGCCGUUACAACCGUCCGAUGAAACAGAUGUAAACUCUAAUCAAGGGCUGAGAAUCGCAUUACGUAAUCUCACAAAACGACACAAAUACUCGUUGAAACGAUGAAAAUCUAAUCCAAGACAAAGUGGGCCCCAUUAUUACAACAUGGGAAGAUGUCACAAUCAAAAAGCGGGUCCCACGUUGUAGAUUCGGCGCUUGGAACACACGCACCCGUUUUACUGUAAUUAGAUUGCGUGACCAAAGAGUCAAACAGCGCCGUGCAGUUUAAUGAGUUUUAAGUUCUUGUCCAAAUCACACACAUGUUGUUCAAUAUUUUAAAUACUGUAACGCAUGUGCAGAUUCCAAUUCUUAAAUCUCGGUGAUUAGUGAAGAAGUUGGAAGUGUUGUAACAACAUUUUUUCUAUAUAACAAACUUGUAAUACUAAAUAAAUUGUAACAAUUCUACAAAUUUUGAAAUUAAUGUGCAGGCGAGAGUUUGAAUACAAGUCUACUGAACCCAUAUUUAGACUCAUUGGUUGGAUCAAAGUUCCAAAACGGUGCUAAUUUCGCCAUCGUUGGAUCUUCUACUCUUCCCAGAUAUGUUCCUUUCGCACUUAACAUUCAGCUCAUGCAGUUCCAACAUUUCAAAUCCCGAGCACUCGAGCUUGCUUCUACUUCAGGUGUCUCUAUUUGAUACUGAUAUUAGCAAUCAACUCUUUAUAGCAAUCUUACUAACUUACUAUUUAUUAUAAGAAGUACCUUUACAUUUGUGUUGUGCAGAUCCUUUGAAAGAGAUGAUGAUAAGUGAGAGUGGAUUCAGAAACGCUUUGUACAUGAUCGAUAUCGGGCAGAAUGAUAUUGCGGAUUCUUUUUCCAAAGGCCUUUCUUUCUCCCGAGUUUCCAAGCUUAUUAUUCCCAACGUUAUUUACGAGAUCAAAAGUGCCAUAAAGGUCAAAACUUCUACACUCAAACGCUAAAAGUUGCGAGCGUCAAUCCAUGAAGUUGAAUUGUUGAAUUUUUGUUUUUGCAGAUAUUGUAUAAUGAAGGAGGGAGAAAAUUUUGGGUUCACAAUACAGGACCUUUAGGUUGUUUGCCUCAGAAACUUUCAAUGGUUCAGAGCAAAGUUUUCGAUAAGCACGGUUGUCUUGCGGGUUAUAACGCAGCUGCAAAACUGUUCAACGAAGGAUUGGAUCAUAUGUGUCAGGAGCUGAUGACAGAGCUGAGAGAGGUCAGCAUUGUCUAUGUCGACAUUUAUGCCAUCAAGUACGAUCUCAUAGCUAACUCCAGCAAUUAUGGUAAGCUUUUAUACAUAUUAGUAAACAAAUACUAGUGUUACAGGGUAUAUGACUCAUCACAGUCCACAGAACAUUCAUAUAUGUGACUUCGUUAAGCAUCUUUGUGUGUAGCAUCAAGCAUGUAUAAAACCUGAACCAAUUGAUAUUCAUUUUUCCUUCAGUUUGGAUAUAUACUAAGCCAAAACAUCCGAUUCAAAUAUUAUGGCUAUAGAUAUUUAGAAAACGCAAUUGGUUUGUGCAGGCUUUGAAAAACCGUUAAUGGCGUGUUGUGGAUAUGGAGGGCCUCCUUAUAACUACAAUGUGAACAUAACGUGUGGCAACGGUGGCUCUAAAAGUUGCGACGAAGGGUCUAGGUUUAUAAGCUGGGACGGAAUACACUACACUGAGACGGCUAACGCCAUUGUAGCCAUGAAAGUAUUGUCCAUGCAAUAUUCUACGCCACCAACUCCCUUCCACUUCUUCUGCGACAGGUGACAUCAUUCAUGUUAUGUGCUUGUUUUGUUCCAAAUAUGAAAAAAUUUCUUUUUGUUUCGGUUUUGUUUUUUAAGCUGGUAAAUUAAGCCUUUGGUUGGAUUGGUUGCAGAAUAAAGUUGAACUCUCAAAGGUUUCCGAAUUUUUUAUUUCGUAUAAAGCCCGGUCACAGUUAACGGACUUGGGCAUAACAUAACAGUUGAACUGAAAAGAGAUUUAAUCUGUAGUGUCGAGAAAAGGGUAAUCAGUGUAACCCACGACAGGAUCAGUAGUAUAGAAACUUGGUCUGUCAUACUUAUUCAGCGGCGCAUCGAGCUCGAACCUUCUAGGCAAAUCCGGAUUAGCCAAAAACAGUCGUCCGUACGCCACAAGAUCGGCUCUUCCCUCCGCCACCGCUUUGUUCCCAUCUUCUCUGGUAUAACCUCCGGCGACAAUGAACGUUCCAUUAAACGCCUUUCUCAUCGGCGUAAGUGAUUCCGCGCACUCGAAAAUCUCACUUACUGUUUUCAUCCUCGGCUCAACCAUGUGGCAGUAGAGUAUCUCGAAUCUGUUGAGAGACUUAGCCAUGUAAAGCCCUAAGCUUUUAGGGUCUGAAUCUCCGGAUUCCAUGUAAUUAGCGAAAGGUGAGAGUCUGAUUCCGACGCGAUCAGGUCCGAUCUCGUUCGACACCGCUUCGAUUACUUCUAAUGCGAAUCUGCAUCGAUUCUCUAGAGAUCCGCCGUAACUAUCGGUUCGAUCGUUAACAGAGUCUUUCAAAAACUGGUCAACCAAGUAGCCGUGAGCUCCGUGGAUCUCCACUCCAUCGAAACCUAGACAAAAAAAAAUCAAAAAGGUUGAACCUUUUCUCUUGGGUUUGAUCGAAUCAAUUUGGGAUUGGAAUCGAAAGUUUGGGUUUUUACCAGCUUCGAUUGCGUUUCUUGCAGCAAGACGAAAAUCAUUGACAAUGGUGGGGAUUUCGUCAGUUGUUAGUCUUCUCGGAGGGGUAAAUCUAUACUGACUCGAUGGAUCGUCGGCGACUGGCUUAUCCGUAGGAGAAACCGGAGCUUCCCCAUUUGGCUGCCAAUCUACAAAUAUUCAAACUAUGAUGACUCAGUCUCCGAACUACUCUAUUUGGCUUGCAUUCGAUUCUGCUCAUUAUAUAUGAGUUUCAUAAAAUGAGCAACUUCAAAUCCGAAAAGAGAAAACUUUUUAAAAAGGGUUUCUUAUAAACCUCGAUGAGAAACACGACCGGCGUGCCAGAGCUGGCAGAAGAAGACGCCGCCGCGAGAGUGAACGGCGUCAACGAUGGGCUUCCAUGCUUCUAUUUGUUCUUUUCUCCAUAUCCCUCCAAUGUUUAUAUACCUUUAAGGGAAAAGAAGUCAAUCAAAAAUCAGAACCCUUAUAAGAAAGUAACUUUUCUGGUAAAUUGGUUUUAUAAUUAGACUUACGCCAUGGCAGUUUCAGAAAUUCCGGUGGCUUCGCUGAUGAGGAGACCUCCCGGAGUUGUUCUCUGAGAGUAAUACAAGGCGGCCUGAGGUUGUGGAACGUUACCGUAUGAUCUCAAUCUCCCCAUCGGAGCCAUAACUAUUCUGUAAAAUAUUUGAGAAAGUUUUUGUUAAGACAAUCUAUGUAUUUUAGCAAUGAUCAGUUUUGUGUGUGAAUGAGAUUUAAGGGAACCUGUGUGUAAGGUUGAAGUUUCUCAUCGAGAAUGGGGUGAGAAGAGGAAUUGUCUGUGUAGUUGCGUUCUCCAUCGAUCUAUCUUUCGAGAACUCCAGAUUUCUGUCGUCUUACUGUGGUUUUCAGAAAAUAUCUUGGAGAUUUACUACUUGAUCUCCAAGUUUCUUCUUUUGUCUUUUUCUUUUUUCACUAUAAUACACAACAGUUUCGUCGAAAAAUCUAUGUACAGUAGAAUAAUACAGUUGACUUAAACACCGUGUGAUAUCUUUCCAGGUCAACAAGAUUUUUUUUCGCUUUCUUUUUCGGUAACUAUACUAAUUACUACACUGUGAGAAUGAAGGCACAGUUACUCCUACGUCGAACGUAUUGCUCAAGCAUCCCUCCGACUGCAAAUGCUAAAAUCACUAAUCUCUCUCGUAUAUGCCAGAUUCAUGAAGCUCGGAAGCUUUUCGAUUCAUUUUUCCACAAAACGAUUCAAUUGUCUACAUUCUUCUUCUACAUUUGGUAGAUGACGAAUGGGGAGAUUGACGAGGCUAGGAGAGUGUUUGGUUUGAUGCAGGAGAGGAAUUUUGUCUUAUGGACGGCGAUGGUGAAAGGGUAUGUGCAGAGUGGUAAAGUGGAUGUGGCAGAGUCAUUGUUUUGGAAAAUGCCUGAUAAGAAUAAGGUUUUCUUGGACUGUGAUGCUUAUUGCCUUAUUGGGUUUAUACAAGAUGGACGAAUAGAUGAUGCGUCUAAGCUGUUCGAUAUGAUGCCAGUCAAAGAUAAUGUUGCAAGGACUAGUAAUAGUAUGAUUCAUGGGUUGUGCAUAGAAAGAACAGUGGAUGAGGCUAGGAACUUUUUUAAUUAGAUGUCAGAAAGAAGUGUGAUUACAUAGUUUGUUUUGUAGAUACAGAUCUCUCUUCAAGCCAAACGAGAAUUCAAAGGCAACUUUGUUUUGGUACAUAGUUAUUAACAUUCUUUGUUGCAUGUACAGAGACCGAAGAGCUCUCUGUCUCAUGUGUACUACGGAGAAAGAUUCAAGUCUAAACAAAUGUCAGUCCCAGAUCCGUCUUGCUUUUCCUUAGAGCCGUACUCGUUGGAUGCUGAAGAGCUCGUAUCAGCUGCUAUUUCUUUGUUGUUGGCCUCUGCUUCAUUCAUGAAAAUGAAAUCCUCAGGCUGAAACGAAGGGAAUCUACGAACCCUCACUCUUUCUUCUUCCUGUCUCUUCUUCUCCAUGGAGCUGAUCAGGUAUUUCCGCAUUUCCCUUGCGUUUUUAAGAAAUGUGUACAACUUAUCUAUCUUUUCUUCUUCGUCUUCUUCCUUCUCCGUUUUCACUUUCUUUCUGUCUCUAUCCAUAGAACCACUCUCUCUUCCUUCCCCUUUGAAAAUGUUUCUCUUUAGCUACACAAUUUUCAUAACUCUUUCUAUCAUCAACACAUGAUAUAUUGGAAGAUUUUUCUGCAGGAGUUGGUGGAGGAGAUAUAAUUAUUACCUCUAGUGGGAAGACCAACAACAUAACCUUAUCUAAAAGUCUCCUAUACUUCUCCUUUUCUUUGGGUGGCUUUGGAGAUUUUUCAACUCAAUUAUGGACCCUACCAUGAUGGACAUUCAAAUAACAGCAUAUCAUAUAUAUCUACAGAGUCUACAGGGAAUAGCUCAGCUUCAAGCUAAACUAACCACUUCACAAUAACCAUAUGGUCCCAUAACUCAACAAUCUGAACUGCAUGGAUUCAGAAUCAUUCUCAUUUGUUGUAAAGCUUUGUUAGUUAAUAUGCCUAUAUUUCUCCUUCAGUCAUCUGCCCAUGGGACGCCAUGCUUGGCCCAGAGAUAGUAUGCUCCAACUGGUCCUCGUCCACCAAAUUCAUACAACUCCGGAGCUGUGUGGUGCUUGUCUAUUUCUUCUAGGACCGGACUCAGAAUGUCCCAUGCUGCUGCAACCUCAUCGCUUCUCAUGAACAGAUGAUUGUCACCAUCAAUUACAUCAUGGAUUAGGUGUUCGUAUGAGUCUGGUAUUUCGGUUUUGUACCUAGAGGUUUGACCCAACAACGCAAAUAACUAUAACGAGUAGAAGUUUGAUUUUCAAAAUGUGUAGGAACACAGAUGAGAAAAGCAAAACUUGCCUGUCUUUAUAGAGCAGGUUAAGUUCAGAAGCGUCUAGCUGAAGACCUAAACCAGGAACCUUGUUAUUAAUUUUCACCAGGAUGGCCUCAUCAGGUUCGUCACGCAGAAUUAGCUCAUUUGUCCCCAAAUCUAUGUUUAUUCCAAUAUUUUCUCGGUAAAGGUUUCCGGGAACAUGCCGGAAUUGCACACGAAUCUCCACUCUUUGAAUAUUAAGGCACACCAAUCAAUUGUAAUGACAAAUGGAUAUUUCCAUGAGCCGGAAUAGUUAUUCUUACCUGUGUUUAAUGAGGCCUGUCCCAACUCUUACCAGGAAAGGUACACCAUCCCAUCGUGCAUUAUCAAUAUACAAGGCUGCAGCGCAAUAUGUAGGGUCUACACCGUUAAAUAUCACACCGUUCUUGUCCUGGGAACUAGAUUUAUACUGACCAAGGAUGACAUCACGCGGGUCUAGUUUGCGAAUUGAUCUCAAAACCUUCACCUGAAGAAGCAUUUUUGUCACAAGGUCACUUGACAGAAUAUGAGUACACAACUUCGAUAUAUAUAUAGAUAUCACAAGACAAUUCUGUUAUUUGCUAGUGCAGGUUGACCUUUUCAUUCCGGAUAUCUUCACCAUCGAGACUUAUCGGAGGUUCCAUGGUAAGUAAUGCGAUUGUCUGAAGUAUAUGGCUGUGCACUAUGUCCCGUAUUAUUCCAUAUCCAUCAGAAUACCUUCAAAAAAUGCAGUAGGAAAUUAGGUACUGAAACCAUAUCUUUCUUUAUAGAACUAUUGUGCCUUACUUUUCGUUUUGCGCAAUUGAUUCUGAUACAAUAACCUGGAAACAUAGGUUAUAGACAAAGUGAACAGACCAGAAUGUGGAGGAGGAAAGUCCAGGCACUAUACACAACUAUAAACAUCUACCUGUAUAUUGCGUAUGUAUGUUCUGUUCCAUAGUGGUUCAAAAACUAAAUUUGAAAACCUUAACACUGUCAGAUUUUCAAUGAGGUUCCUUCCUAACAUGUGAUCUAUCCUGCAACGGGCACAUACACUGUGAAUAAAGAUGAACUCGGAGAGCUGUGCAUGCAGAAAGCUACUAGAUUAAAAAGAAGGACCUGUAGAUUUGCUUCUCUUCAAACUUAGAGAGAAGUGACUUUGUCAACUGAUGAGAUGACUGUGAGCUAAACCCAAAAGGCUUCUCAACUAUUAUACGAGUCCAGCCAUGUGGUGCUUGAGCCUUUUCUGCAAUGGUGCAUGCCACAUCCAUGAGAGCUUCUUGAGGUACUGAGAGGUAAAAAAUCCUAUUCGCUUUUGAUUCUCCCUGAAGAAGGAAUGCUACUAUUGUAUUAGUGUUUAGCCUUCUUUUCUGUUCCAGAUAUCGUAAACCCAGAAAGAGGACUACCUCAAUCUGUUUCAUUCUUUCGGCAAGUCUGGACAUCCCAUCUCUGUUAUUAUAACCUCCAUUGAUAUAGUAUGUUCUACUAAGAAAUGCAUCCAUCUUGUCCCCGCAAUUUUCCCUGAACAUUUAGCAUCAUCUUUACUUAGCACUGAACAUAUCAAAUUUACCAAGUUUAAGAUAGGAACAAGAAUGAUAUAUACUGAUGAUCAACACGGCAAGUCAGAGUUGACGCGAUGAUGGAUCUGAGGUCUUCAUCUGUAAUAUCUUUUCUUGAAAUCCCAAAUAUGCCAACAUCCUGUGCCAAUGAAGUCCAAUCAAGAAGACACCAAUAGAAAAAAAAACCAGCCAAUGGCUUUCACUGAUCAUUUUGUUCAUUAGUAUCAAAACCAUACCUGAGGAAGGUAGCCGCUAUAAUACAACGCAAACAGUGCUGGGAAAAUCUUCCCUCUUGCAAGUUCACCAGUAGCUCCUACAACAGCAAUGCAAAGCGAGGCACCUAUUUGGACAUCCGAAAGACCACCCGAGAAUUGUUUUAACACAGCUGGUAAGUCUCCAACUUUGUGAGAACCAUCAUCACUCAAAUCAGCUCCCAGAAUAUUGUCUUCAGGUCGUAAAUCUGUAGCUCCAGUUUCUUCAGUAAAACCUGGAUCACAUUUAACCACAGUAAGUGCUAAAGAAGGGUCUUCAGCAGAUGUAUUUGAGUCUUUUCCUAGUUCAUCGCUGAGGAAUGUGUGAUCUGAGCGUGUUUUAAGCUCGUUUACAGGCAGGUGUUUUCUGUGGCUGCCUUGUCUAAGCUGCAGGCUCUUAAGUAUCCAUAGCUUCAAACCGCAGAAUCGCCAGCAGAGAUUCGAGCCUCCUCCGUUGAGAACAAGGUUUUCAUUUCUGAAGGAACUAUAGUCUCUUGACGAAACCUACUCACACACAAAAAAAAAAAAAAAAAAAAGAAUUCAAAUUUCAACAACUGAAGCAAAAAACAAGUCCUUUAGAAUCAAUUCCUACUAAGCUUGAGGCAAAGAACACAAAAUUUGAGAUCUCUGGUGAGAUUGCAGUAAAUAUAGCUUAAAAAAAGGAAAAUAACUAUCUUUACUUAUCAAAAUAGUGACUUAUUGAUCAAACGCAAACAUGCAAAGAAAGCUGAAGAGAAGGUACAAAGAAUACAUGACCUUACCGGAAAAUUAGAAAAAGAGGCGGCGAGACGGGAAGAGCAGGCGGAGGGGGAAGGAGCCGUGGCUGAUAGAGAAAAGGGAAGCAAGCAACUGGAGAGAGACAUGAGGAUGGUUCCUCAGGGACCGAUUAUAGCUAACAUUAUUGAAAACUUCUACAAACUGCUUUAAGUGGAAGCCUGAGUGCCACUUUAACUCCCCUAGUUUUGGGUACAGCUGAUUCAAGCCUCAAUGGAAUAAAUCAAAGAAUAAUGCCUCGAAUUCGGUUGUAGUGAACCGUACCGUACCAAACUGAACUGAACCGGUUGGUUAUUAAGGAACCGGUUGGUUAUUAAGGAAAUGGGAAUACAGGUGGUUUAGGCGGGGUGGGUAGGUUGACAUUGAUCGACAGCUCACAGCUCAACGUCAACGUCUCUUCUGGUUCUGAGCGGCGUCAGCGUUGUGUUGUGUUGGUGAGAUCAUCUUCUUUUGAACUUCUUCGAUCUUAUCGUCUCGAAAGUUCUCACCUUUUUUUUCUCUUUUUUCUUUUCCUUCAGCUAUUUUCGGCGGAGAAAAUACUUUUUAUUUAUUUAAGAGCUAAAAGGACGAUCACUGUUUCGUUUGCUACUGUCUCAGUUUCAGAUUCUGGGUUUUUCGUUUUUCUUUCUUUGGAUUCGGAUUGUAACUCGAUGGCGAGGAAGAAGAUAAGAGAGUAUGACUCUAAGAGACUUCUCAAGGCACACUUGAAGCGUCUCGCUAACAUUGACCUGCAAAUUUGCUCUGCUCAGGUCACUUUUUGACGAAUUCUAGUUCUUUUUUUGUUCUCAUCGAUCUGCUUUGGAUUUUCAAAAUAUGUUGCGGAUUGAAGUACGCAAAAUUCUAUAGCAUUAUUCAAUUGUACCUCUUGAAUGAAUUGUGCCUGAUUGUAAUUGAGGAGACUUAUCUGGACUUAAGAACUAAUGAAAGUGAGAAUCUUGAGAAAGAUGGUUUUUAUCUCUCUUCUACGGAUGAUUACUAGGAAUUUUUCCUUUAUACAUUUGGUGAUUUGUUUACCGUUGUGUACUUUUAGGUGACAGAAGCUACGGAUUUCACUGAGUUAACCAACCAGGAGUCAUGGCUAUCAUCUACAAAGCUAGUUGUGAAGCCUGAUAUGCUAUUUGGGAAACGCGGGAAAAGUGGCUUGGUAGCUCUUAAGCUGGAUCUUGCUGAAGUUGCUGAGUUUGUCAAAGCCCGCCUCGGCACUGAGGUGACCCAUCCUAGCCGCCCGAGCCAUAGAACUGCGGGUUAGAUUUGUUGUGUCAUUGAUGUUUGUCUUUACGUUUUUCAUGAGUCGCAGGUUGAGAUGGAGGGAUGUAAAGCCCCUAUUACUACAUUCAUUGUGGAGCCCUUUGUGCCUCAUGAUCAAGAAUAUUACCUUUCUAUUGUAUCUGAUAGGCUUGGCUGCACUAUAAGCUUCUCUGAGUGUGGCGGCAUUGAAAUAGAAGAGAACUGGGACAAAGUAAUUACCUUUUGGCUCUUUUAUUGUUUCCAUGCAUUCUCUGUCUUGUCUUAGUUUUUGUUGUUUUCUCUCAAUAAUGCGGUUUAUGGUACCAACAGGUGAAGACUAUAUUUCUUCCUGCGGAAAAGCCAAUGACACUAGAAGUAUGUGCUCCAUUGAUAGCAACACUUCCUCUUGAGGUAAGUAUUUAUCCUCUGUGACUCUGAAAGCUUCUGAGCCAGUAACACCGUACACUAAUUUGUCUUAAGGAAAACGUAGGUAUCUGGUUUCAAUGUGCAUUCAUUCUCUGGUUUUUUGUAUUCCUCUGCAUUUUCGAAGAUGCUGAAAUUAUGGCUUCUAAGUACUGCAGUCUAUGUCAAAGAGAUUAUUAAGUUAGGUUCUUUCAACUAAUGCUUAGCCUGCUCUCAUGAGUGUGUCUAUGCAUUUCAGGUUCGAGCUAAAAUCGGCAAUUUCAUAAUGGGCGCGUUUUCUGUAUUUCAAGGUAUGGGUAUAUUAAUGAGAUUUGGCCAUAUGUUGACUUCAAAAAUUUGUGCACAUACGAAGAGCUUUGAUUCGAGAUUUCUUGAGGUCAUUUGCUUAUCAUCUAUUUGUGUUUUUUUUCUGUAAAGAUUUGGAUUUCAGUUUUAUGGAGAUGAAUCCUUUUACACUAGUCGCUGGAGAGCCAUACCCUUUGGAUAUGAGAGGAGAAUUGGACGACACUGCUGCCUUCAAGAAUUUCAACAAGUAUGUCUAACAUUUCUACGCUUCCUGUUGAGAUAUCCGCAAUCACUUUUUUCUUUAGAAACUCAUUAGAUUGAUAAGCUCUAAUCAAUUCAGGUGGGGAGACAUUGAAUUUCCUCUGCCAUUUGGAAGGGUCCUAAGUCCAACGGAGAACUUCAUCCAUGGUUUAGAUGAGAAGGUGUGAGUGGCCGGAUUUUCUUUUAAUACUGCUUCUGUGACUCAAAAAGGAAAGUAAUUUUACUGAUCAUGCAUUUGUGUGUUAUUUAUUGCAGACAAGUGCUUCUUUGAAGUUCACUGUUUUGAAUCCUAAAGGCCGCAUUUGGACAAUGGUAGCUGGAGGAGGUGCUAGCGUCAUAUAUGCUGACACAGUGAGUUGAAACCCUGAGCUUUUUAUAAGUAGAGAGUUGCAGUAACAGAACUUAAAAUGCCUGCUCCUUGAAAUGAUCUAAUUGUCACCGAAUCAACUUAAAUUUCAAAUUAUAGACAGAUUAUCACCAUUCUGAGCAGAACCAAUCAACUUAGUGUGUUAAUUGGUGGCUCUCUGUAUUUUUAUCAUUUAGGCAAUCUCAUAUCCUUGCCAUUUGAAAAGACUGGAAACAAAAAAGUUCAAAGAAAGUGUUAUUAUGAGGAUUCCGAAGAAUUUCUCACAUUAGUUUAUUUGUGUUUUCCUUAUCUACGUUUGAAAAGGUUGGGGAUUUAGGUUAUGCAUCCGAACUUGGGAACUACGCGGAGUAUAGUGGAGCACCUAAUGAGGAAGAGGUGUUACAGUACGCAAGAGUUGUCAUUGAUGUGAGUCAUGGCAAAGAACUUAGAUUUUGCCAUUCACUGUUUUUCUCUAAUCAAAUCUAGACAUUCACGGACCAAAUGUUGGGGCUUUGUCAGUGUGCUACUGCUGAUCCUGACGGGCGUAAACGAGCUCUUCUUAUUGGAGGAGGCAUUGCCAACUUCACAGAUGUGGCAGCUACUUUCAACGGUAUCAUCAGAGCCCUAAGAGAAAAGGUACUUUAGUGAAUGAAGAAAACAGUUGCUACUUUAUUUUUGGGAAGAUGAGAGCAAUGCCUAAGGACUAGAUCGAUGCUGGCGGGUUUUUUAGCAGUUUGUUUUGUGUGCCACGAACAGGAAACAAGGUUGAAAGCAUCAAGAAUGCACAUUUACGUAAGGAGAGGUGGACCAAAUUACCAGACUGGUUUGGCUAGAAUGCGAGCUUUGGGAGAGGAACUGGGUGUUCCCCUAGAGGUAACCAAACACUGCUUAUGGAAAAUUAGCAGCCGUGUGAAUAUAGAAUGUUACAAUCUAAGCCUAUGAGAAAUUAUGAAAACUUACUCUGUUGAACCCGGAAAUCACCCUUUUUCACAUCUCGCUUAAUGCUAAACAUUUGUGUUUAGCUCGAACACUGAACUUUAGAAGGAUUGAUGAUUGCAGGUAUAUGGACCAGAAGCAACGAUGACGGGAAUAUGCAAACGAGCUAUUGACUGCAUCAUGUUGCCUGAUGCAUAACCCACCUUCUGUUUCUAAAAACAGAACACAAACUCUGGAGCUGGAGAUCGGAAAAGUCAGUGAGUGAGUUUGUUGAUUUCUGUUGUUUAUCUUUCUUUCCACGUAAAAAAUAAAAUGAGAAGCUCUUAAAAACUUUCUACAACUGUAUUAUUGUGUAAUUGUAAAUUUGUAAUCAAACGGUCAACAUCUUUAUUUGGUAACUAUUUGCAAACCUUUGGAAAUAAUAAUGGUUUCCCACAUUGAUUUUUUUAUUUAGAAUAUGUAUAUAUUUUUCUUCUCUUCAACUCCCAUUCACAGGAGUGACUGCUGCAACUUUUGGUUAUCGCUUGAGAUAGCCACCGGAUAAGACAAGUUCAACGGGUGAAUCUGUCUGCUGGAUUUGAGAUUUCUAAUCUUUUGAAUUCCGUGGUUUUUUCUUGAUGAAAACUAAAAACAUUGUAAGCUUAGUAGCGAAAUUACAAGAAAAGGAGGACGUGAAGAAGAAGAAGAGUACCUAGCCCUUGGUGUUGUUCUUCUCUUAAGGCAUUUGGUAUGGUGUGAAUGCUUUGUUCUACUUCUAGCGGCAAAUGUUGGCUUAUGUUUCCUUUUUUUCAAGUCUCGUUAAGUUUUGGUGAUUGGACAUAGAACCGGAUAUAGUAUGUUUCAAAUGAUCAAAUAAUGUGACAGAGAUAUUUUUAUCUACCGGUUAGCUCGAAUUCAUAAAGAUUGAUGAUUGCAGGCAUAUGGACCAGAAGCAACGAUGACGACGGGAAUAUGCAAACGAGCUAUUGACUGUGUUGAUUUCUGUUCUUUAUUAUCUUUUUCCACACAAACAAUUAGAAGCUCUUUAAAACCUUUUGUCCCCUCUGGAUGUGAAUUUGAAAACUGUAUUACUAUGUGUUGCAACUUGCAAGUGUAAUUGUAAUCAAACGGUCAAAAUACUUAUUUGAACUGUACAGUAAGACUUCAAAAGGUAAGCUACUUUGGUUUUUUUUUGUGUGUAGUAAGGUCACACUCGUUAUACACACCAAUCUAUUAUACAAAUCCAGUUCCAUAUACAAAACAUGUCUAUGCAUAUCAUAUAUAUUACAUGUAUAUUUAACUCUAUCAUCUGUUAAUUCAAAUGCAAAAACCGGAAGAAAUGAAAGAAAAAGAUUGAUUCCCAAGAACAAGAAAAUGCAGAAGAAUCAACAACUCUCAAAGAACAGACAAGACUUUGCGCCAUAGCAAAUAUCUCUGUUUUGUAAUGGUAAUCUGAUUAUUAAAGCCUCUUGCUCUGUGAUCUUGAAACUGGUGUGCUUCUGUCUGUAUCUGAGUUUUCCUCUGGUGUUCUGCGCAUUCUCCGCUCCUGUAAGUUGAAUUCUUGCUUAAGUUUUUACAAGUCUGCAUACUUUUCUGUUUUAUAAAAAAGGUUUUAAGAAACACUAACCUCUCUUGGUAUGGGAUAUUCCUCAGACUCCAGCAUACGCACAACUUGGCUCAUUUUAGGUCUCUUCUCAGAAUCAGGAUCGAUGCAUCUAAGUGCGGUAAGAAGAACACGUUUCAGUGCUCGAGUCGCUGGCCUAACUGCUAUGUUUGGAUCAAUUACUUCUUCCAAUCUCUUACUUCCCACCAUCAUCUUCAACCACUCAACCAAAUUUACCUGCAAAAGAUUGUUAAUGAGUCUCAAAAUUUAUCAUAUUUUCAUAUCCAUUCAUCUCUCCAUACUCUAUCUACCUCAUUUGCAGGACGAGCAUAAUCCACAGGAUCUCUUCCGGUUAUUGCUUCUAAGACCAAAACACCAAAGCUGUACACAUCACUCUUCUCAUUCAAAAGUCCUGUAUUGGCAUACUCAGGAGCAACAUACCUGCAAUACUCAGAAAAUAACCAUGGCUCAGUCAUAAAUUUAAAGCUCCUUUUUCGAAAACAAAAAGUUGCUUUGAUAUAUUACCCAAAUGUUCCCAUCACUCGAGUAGUCACAUGGCUUUUCCCAUCUCCAAGCAACUUGGCAAGGCCAAAAUCAGAAAUCUUGGCAUUGAAUCUGUCAUCGAUCAAUAUAUUGCUCGACUUGAUGUCUCUAUGCACUACUUUUGGCUCGAUUGCCUCGUGUAGAUAAGCAAGACUGCACAAGGAAAAAAACCAUUACUUUCAGCAUAAAAAAUGUGAAAAAAGAAGUAAAUGGUUUGCUUAAUUACGCCUUGGAUGUGCCGGUGAGAACUUUCAUUCUAGCCUCCCAAGUUAGAUAUCCGUGGUGUUUCAUUGCUCCAUGUAGCCACUCUUCGAGGUUCCCAUUGUUCAUAUACUCAUAAACCAAUAUCCUAACAGCAACAAACUCACAAAAGUUGGUUUCUUUUCUUCUCUAAACAAAACAAAGUAUCAAUCUUUAUACCUGUGUGUGCCUUCAAUGCAGUAUCCUAGAAGACGUACCAAGUUCUUGUGACGCACAUGACCAAUAGCAUCUACCUCUACUCUAAACUCUUUCUCAGCUUGUCCCCUACAGUGUCCAGCAACAAUCAGUUUUCAAGAGUAAUCAACAGAUCAAAAGAGAGAGAGGCCUCUAUGUCUUUAUGACCAUAACUCACAAGUGGUUAAGGAUCUUUUUCACGGCGACGUGAGUCCCAUUGACCAACUCUCCUCUGUACACAACACCAUAUCCUCCUUCACCAAUCACAUUAUCCUUUGAGAACCUGUUUGUUGCUAUUUCAAGAUCUCUGAGAGUAAACCAAUGACCCCAUCCAAGGUGCGACUCAGGUAAACCGGAAAGAGGUGAUGGUGAUGGCGUUGCCAUCUCAUACAAUGAUGAAGAAGACCGGUUUGCAACACAUAGAGAACCUUCUUUGCCUGAACCAGAACGGCUACUACUGCUCAAACCAUUCUCUCUCUUCUUCUCCAUAUCCAAGUUAAGCAAGAACUUGUCAGAUUCAUGGCUGUUUAUGUCAUGAGGAUCGAAGUUACUACUAGUUGAGACAUGCUCUAUUCUGACUUCCUUGAUCUCUUUGGAUACCGCAGGGGUUUGAAUGAUGGGAAGAGUUAAGGUUUUGGAUCUUCUUGAUUUCUUUUUCCAAAUGAGACAAAAUGAAAGAACAGAGAGUAUGGCUAUGAUGAACAGAGCAAUGGCGAUGACUAUUGCUUGCCAGAUCUUAAGUGUAGACAUUGUUCCUUCUCCUAAUCUGCUUGAUUUCAAAAUCAUCAAACAAAGAAGAGUAAAGCUUGAAACAGUCAGAGCAAGCGAAAGAAAUAAAUACUAGAAAGGAACUACAUGAAAAAUGCUGUGGGAUUGAUGAUGAGGAGACUCCAAGUUGAUUCAGUGGUCCCAAAAUCAUACAAAAAGGACCACUAAGUAGCUAAUAACCCAAUAAAGCAACAAGAUAACAAAAUGCAGCAAUCAUUAACAUCUUCAUUAUCAUCCAUCUAAAAAGAUGCAUAGGACAAGCAAAAGGAUGAUACAAAUACAGAGAGAAUAAAAGUUAGAACAAGUAGAUGACAGUCUAACGAUUGUUACCUCCUACGAAUGAAGCUUGACAAGAGAAACUCUUUAGAGAACAAAAAGACAAAACGUUUUAGAUGGAACAGAGGAAACAGAGUUUUUGUUUCCUUUUUUUUGAAGAAUGUAGAACUUUUUUUUGGUGUGAAGAAGAAGAAGAAGAAAGAGACGAAAUCAAGAAAAGUUUAAGCAAAUAGAAAAGGAGAAAACUUGAAAACUUAGGCAGUGAAAAUCUGGUGGAAGGGAAUUAGGAGAAGGAAGAAGAAAUGGAGUUAUCAAGUGGUAGGUGAUGAAAAUUUUAUCAGUUUUAUUCUUCAAUAUAUUUGUUUUCCCCCUCUUAAUUGUUCUUUAUAACUAUAAGGUAGUGUGAUAGAGAGAGCUUGCAUUGCAAAUUACAUUUUCAUUACAUAGGAGAUAAAAACAUCCUCUUACAUUUCCGUGAAGGGGGAUGAUGUUUUAACAACCCGAAGUAACUGUCCGAUCUUGUACACUAGACGGGAUAGGAAAACCAAACUUUAGUACAGAAACAAUUGUUGUAUUAAUUAGUGAUUCGAGUUAAAACAUUGAAAAGACUAAUAAAAGUAUGAAAUUAUUACUAGUGUAUUUAUGGAUAUAUACAAGUAGAAAAUGUUUGAUGAACGUCGUUGGGGCUGGCUGUUACCGCAAUGUUUUGUUUUUCUUCCGUUCUUGAUAAAUUAGAAUUACGAUUUUCUCGAUUUUUUAAAUAUAUAUAUAUGUUCAAUUGUAAUUUGUUGUGUUUGGAAUGUUGACGUAACUUUUUUUUCUUUUUAGGCUUCAGCUAUAAAUCCACACAAUCACAUCAUCAAUGUUCUAAAAUUUUGGUCGGUAUAUAUAUAAUUGAGAAAUAGUAUUUUUUACAUGCUUUACAUUCCAUUACUCGUGUGUGUUGUGUGAUAACUGAUAACUUGUGCAUACACAAGACAACAAUCUAAUUGAUACAUGUAAUCUAUACAUUACUGAUUACUAAUUUACUAUGUAACGUCGUAAAAGACAUCAUAACACCAAUCUACAAGCAGAACAUCAAGGGAUGUGCCAACAAUUAGCUUUUUCUUCCCUUUUUUUCAUUUACUGUAUAUACAUAAACCGAAAUAGAGAGAAGUUAUAGUCAUCUAGAAGUAUGUUUUAGACUUGAGAAGUAAUUUAGAAAGAGGAGCAGGUUGCUUAAUCUUUUGGUCAUCAUCGUCGUUCGUUCGUUCGUCUACUUGAAAGAGAAAGUCCAACAAAUUUAAAGCCUUCCUUCGUGUUCAACAUUCCCAAUAUUGAUCGUAUAUUUUAUUUUCCAAGUUGCAUACACUGUGGAUAUUAUUUUACUCUUAUUAUUAUCAAUUCCCUCGCACAACAAACAACGUCACAUUUUAUAUAACCCGGUUUGGUUCGGUUAGAACCCCGAUUCAAAAACCUAUUGGGCUUGAGAUUAGAUUAUGAGCCCAAUUUAGAUUUUGGAUUUUAAAAUAUUCAGACCCAUGAAUAUCUCCCGCCUUCCCGGUCCACAACUUUGAUUCAAAUCAUCGACAUCUCUCUUUCUCUCUCCCUCGGUGACUGUUGCAAUACUGAUUUGCGUUUCCUCCUCUAACCUAGAAUGGGAGAUAGAGGUGAACUAAUAUGUUUGGAUUCGUUAUUGGGUUUCCUUAAAUUUUCGAUUUUUUUGGUGUGUUUCUAAGGUGUAUCAACGUGCAGUUGAUCUUUGGUCUGAGGUCAUUAAAUCCGAGGAAGAAGACGGCGGAGAUAUACCCAAAAUUGAAGCUGUAUACCAAAGAAGGAAGAAGCCUGAUAAGUCCUCAGAAGCUGUUAAUUUGUAAAAGAAUUUUAAAAGUGGUUUAAUUUGCCUUUUGUAUCUAUCCGAAUAACUAUCUUCUGAUGCGUAAUUUAUCAACAGAGGCUGGUUGGUCAAAGGGGUUCGUACCAGUUCCAUCAAUGGACCAAAGAGAGAUAGCUGGACUCGUUCCCUCUCCACCAGGUAUACAUUCUUAGCUUAACCCUAAUUUUGUUUUUCUUCUGAUUCUGAGGUUUUGUUUUUGCUUGUUGCUGCUUCAAGAGAUCUUUUUUUUUUUUUUUUUGUCAGUGUUCUUGUUUUGUAUGUCGUGUCCUUCCAAUUCUUUUCUUAAGUUAUGAAUGACUACUUACUGCACACCUUCUGUUUGCUGAAAUGUCAAGGAAUUGCCACCAAAUUUAUACCUGUAAACGAAGUGGCUUAUAUUUUACUUUUGGUGUUUGUGACAGAGGGAGGGAGAGUGUUGCGGUUGUCAACAAUCAGCCUCAGGAGAAACCAGCCAGGAGAAAGAAACCCGCUAUUCCGAAGGUAGUCUAUCUUUUCCAGUGACGACUUGUGCGGUUUUGCUAUGAAGUCUAGUGUUCUCGAAACAAAACAUUUCUCGUGUCUCUGGAUUCCCAUUCUCUCCUGGAGGAUGGUCAAAAUGUUUGUGCUCCUUUCUUCAGACUCUAAUUUUCUUUUGGGAGAUGAUACACAUGUAUUUUCUUUUAAACUCUCAGGGAAAAGUUGUUAAAGCUCCAGACUUCCAGAAAGAGAAGGAAUACUUUCGUGAUAUUGAUGCUUUUGAGCUUCUGGAAGAGAGUCCUUCUCCCAAUAAAUCUAGUACAUGGACCAUGGGUGAACAAGUUGUUCCUGAGAUGCCACAUCUAUCCACAAGAUUAGAAAAGUGGCUGAUCUCAAAGAAGUUUAACCAUGCUUGUGGUCCUUCGAGCACACUCUCUAAGAUACUUGAAAACUCAGCCACACGCCAGGAGUCAGUUUUUGAUAAUGAAUCCUUUGAUUCAUUGCCACUAAAAACCCCAGAAAAGUCUUCUUCUGGCAACCCUUCAGUUUUCCGGCUCAUUCCAAGCCGUGAUGACAGUUCAGCUGCCGAAGAUGUGCAUGUUAGAAAAAUCAAGAUGGAAGCAAUUGACCUUGAAGAUGAGCUGAAGCAACUGUCUUUGACAUCUGAUCCGCCCUCCACUCAUCUAGAUUUUGAUAAGUCAUUUCUUGAUCUAUUGUCCGCGUGUAGACAGAUGCAACCAUCAAACUUCUUGGAAGCAUUCUCUAAAUUCUGGUAUGGACUAUAGAUUAUCUUUUAUGUUCUAGCCUUGGCUGUUUGUCUAGUGCUUUUGGUGUGUUAUCUUAGGAAUGUUGUACGUUUUUGUUGACACUUUGGUACGCCCCGAUUAAGAGAUGUGAUGUAGUGUUCUUGUAUCAUUAAGUUCAAUUUGAAUCAAUUAUAAUUGUGACUCAAAUAUUGCAGUGAACCAGAAAGCAUUGUCAAGAUUGGUGAAGGUACAUAUGGAGAGGCUUUUCGGGCUGGUUCUAGUGUCUGUAAAAUAGUUCCAAUUGAUGGAGACUUCAGGGUUAAUGGGGAAGUACAGAAGGUACUUUUCUUAACUCGCUUCUAUGUUUCUCCAUGAUGGUUUGAGACUACAACUUCUAGUUGGUGAAAUUAUCACUUUAGCAUGAACGAAAAUAUUGGAGAGGGCCAGCAGGCGCAAGUUGAGGUUAAUUUGUAUUUAGAGAAUAACAGUGUUUAUG
rnacentral:lncRNA from 1 species